AUGCUUUGUCAUUGGACCUGGAGCCUGCCCAUGCCCCAGUUGCAUGGUCUCUGGGUUCAAGCCAAGGCACUUGGACCCAGUGGCACUGCUGGCUGGCUAGAGUCACUGAAAUGGCUCAUCUGGCAUGGAUUUUAUGCUCCUAUCGCUGUUGGGUAUGCUUUUUACAACCCCAGAAGCCAGGUGUUCGCCCAUCCCACCCGUCUGAUGGGCAGACAUCCUGUGGCAAGUCCACUAGAGAAACUCUUCAUGAUCUACCCCACUGGCUGUCCUCUCUGUUCCAGAAGUGGUUGUGCCUCUCCACUGUGGCCCUGUGUAUUUAGAAAAGCAAAGCACAUAAAAUAUUUAUGCUUUUCUGAGUAAAUAAGAGUUGCACUUUUGGAAUGAGGAACCCAGCGUAAAGUGAAACAGUGUACGUGUAACACACAUGCACACACAGCUUGCUUCUUUAUCAACUUCAAGAACAAAAGGUAUUUUUCUCACUUAAUUUGGCACAGGAAGAAAACUUUAAUAUGAUUUUAUUUCCUUUCUCCCACAUUUUCUAUUCCAUCUCUCCCUUUCUUAUAUUUUCUUGAAUUUGUUCAUAUAGUUGGUCUUUAUUUAUUAAAAUUAUUUGGAAGGUGUAAAAUACUGUUUCAGUACUAGUUAUAGCAUUACUUCACAUUGGACAACACACUAAGGACAGAUCCCACAUGAGAAGUAAGUACACAGUGACUCCUGUUGUUGACUUAACAAUUUGACACUCUUGUUUAUGGCGUCAGUAAUCUCCCUAGGCUCUAGUCAUGAGUUGCCGAGACUAUGGAAGCCUUUUGAGUUCAUCGACUUCGAUCUUAUUCCAACAGGGUCAUAUUCAAAGUGGAAGUUCUCUCCUCCCUUCAGAGAAAGGUACCACCUUCUUUGAUGGCCCUGUUCUUUCCACUGGGAUCUCACUCGCAGAGAUCUUCCAUUUAGGUCUUCUUCUUCUUUUUUUUUUUUUUUCCCAGGGUGUCUUGGCUUUCCAUGCCUAAAAUACUCUCAUGGGCUCUUCAGCCAGAUCCGAAUGCCUUAAGGGCUGAUUCUGAGGCCAGAGUGCUAUUUAGGACAUCUGCCAUUCUGUGAGUCUACUGUGUAUCCUGCUUCCCAUGAUGGAUUGUUCUCUCCCUUUUUGAUUCUAUCAGCUAGUAUUAACAGACACUAGACUUGUUUGUGUGAACUCUUUGACUCUUAGACCUAUCAGUGUGAUCAAUUGUGAACUGAAAUUGAUCACUUGGACUAAUGAGAUGGCAUUGGUACAUGCCACCUUGAUGGGAUCGUAUUGGGAUCCCCUGGCAUGAUUCUAACUCCACCAUUUGGGGCAAGUCUGAUUGAGCAUGUCAAUCUCAAUUGUACAUCUCCUCCCUCUCUUAUUCCCACUCUUAUAUUUAACAGGGAUCACUUUUCAGUUAAAAUUUAAACACCUAAGAAUAAUUGUGUGUUAAUCACAGAGUUCAACCAAUAGUACUAGAACAAACCAAAGAGAAAAUACUAAAAUGGAUAAAAUAUUUGUGUUUCUGUGUGCGUGCAAACUGAUGAAAUCUUUACUUAAUAUAUACUGAAUUGAUCUUCUGUAUAUAAAGAUAAUUGAAAAUAAAUCUUGAUGUGAAUGGAAUGGGAGAGGGAGU
ensembl:lncRNA